rnacentral:rRNA from 1 species
CUCAACUCCGUGUCCGUAACGGAAACUCACGGGAUAGAGUCAUACAGAGGCAUCUGGAAUUACGUGUGUAGGGGUAAAAUCCGUUGAUCCACGUAGGAACGCCAAAAGCGAAGGCAGGAUGCUGGGUAUGUACUGACGCUCAGGGACGAAAGCGUGGGGAGCGAAGGGGAUUAGAUACCCCCGUAGUCCACGCCCUAAACGAUGCGUGCUCGGUGUUGGGAGUUCAAUCAUUCCCAGUGCCCAAGCUAACGCGGUAAGCACGCCGCCUGAGUAGUACGGCCGCAAGGCUAAAACUUAAAGGAAUUGACGGGGGCCCGCACAAGCGGUGGAGCAUGUGGUAUAAUUCGAAGCAACGCGAAGAACCUUACCUGGGUUUGACAUACACGUGAAAUCCCUGUGAAAGCAGGGCCCUCCUUCGGGACAC